rnacentral:rRNA from 1 species
GGACAAUCUGCCCUGAAGAAGAGAAUAAUCCCGGGAAACUGGGGGUAAUGCUCUAUAGUCCGGGAGGACUGGAAUGUUCUCCGGAUGAAAGAUCCGUCGCUUCAGGAUGAGUCUGCGGCCGAUUAGGUAGUUGUUGGGGUAAAAGCCCAACAAGCCUGUAAUCGGUACGGGUUGUGGGAGCAAGAGCCCGGAGAUGGAUUCUGAGACACGAAUCCAGGCCCUACGGGGCGCAGCAGGCGCGAAAACUUUACAAUGCGGGCAACCGUGAUAAGGAAACUCCGAGUGCCUGUAACGGCAGGCUGUCCAUCAGUUUAAAACACUGGUGAAGAAAGGGCCGGGCAAGACCGGUGCCAGCCGCCGCGGUAAUACCGGCGGCUCGAGUGGUGGCCACUAUUACUGGGCUUAAAGGGUCCGUAGCUUGAUAGUUAAGUCCCUUGAGAAAUCCACCGGCUUAACUGGUGGGCGUUCAGGGGAAACUGGCUUUCUAGGGACCGGGAGAGGUAAGAGGUACUGCCGGGGUAGGAGUGAAAUCCUGUAAUCCCGGUGGGACCACCUAUGGCGAAGGCAUCUUACCAGAACGGCUCCGACAGUGAGGGACGAAAGCUGGGGGAGCAAACCGGAUUAGAUACCCGGGUAGUCCCAGCUGUAAACGAUGCGCGUUAGGUGUGUCAGUGACCACGAGUCACUGAGGUGCCGAAGGGAAACCGUGAAACGCGCCGCCUGGGAAGUACGGUCGCAAGGCUGAAACUUAAAGGAAUUGGCGGGGGAGCAC